GUGAAUCAUCAAAUCUUUGAACGCAAAUUGCACUCUCUUCGGAGAGUAUGCCUGUUUGAGGGUCAGUAUUAAUAAAAAUCGGUGUGUUGCUUCUUUGUGACGCUCCGGAGUUUGGGUCAUCUUAAUAUCCUUUAGGUUUUAAGAGGCUUAAAAUUGACUUUUUUUGCGCAUUUUAGAUGUACAUAAAUUCUUUUUUUUUUUUUGUCUGGUCUUAUUCAACAAAUUCUUUUUAAAUCCAACA
rnacentral:misc_RNA from 1 species